AUCGCUUCUCGGCCUUUUGGCUAAGAUCAAAGUGUAGUAUCUGUUCUUAUCAGCUUAAUAUCUGAUACGGCACCUAUUAGGUGCCUUCGAUAUUAAACUAAUUUUUGGAACUUGUUCCAGUUUCGCAAUUCAUUGCAUCUGGAGCGCAGGUUCGGCCGCUAUUGCACUGUCUGCGGCUCGGGCCUACUUAAU